ensembl:lncRNA
GGAGGGGGUGGGGCUCUGGCUGUAGGGAAACAUAAGGGUCCCAGCCUCUCCUGGCUUCCCAAUGGCCAGCCCCACCCUCCCUCAGUCUCAGAUCUGGGCCAGCAGUUGGGUCUCCUGCUACCCACUCUAAGCAAAAGGUUUUGCUCGAAGCCUGAGUUCCCAGCUCGAGGGGACUGGAAUGACAGUGGAAACCAAGGCCAGAGAAAGCCCAGGUUCCUGCUCCCACUCCUCACUGUGGUAUGAUCUUGGCAGCCUCUGCCCAGAUGAGGGCAAUGAGGUCUUGGUUGAUGAGGAAGACAAAUCGCAGGCUGGCAAUCUCCACCACAGAAUUGUUGCUGAGGCGCCAUUUGGAGCCACACAGCACAGGCCGUCCAUCAAUGUAGAUGGGCCGUCGGCCCUCACUGGCAAUAAAGAAAUCACCAUUGUUCUUCAGUUUGAUGACACCUUGCUUCCAGGAGAUCUUCCAGGCUGGACCCUCCAGAGACAGGUCCACAUCAAUCUGAUUAUCCUUGGUUGCUCUGCCAAGGGUGAUCUCACAUGAGCGCAUCAGGUACUGCACCAUGUGGCCCCGCAGCACUGCCAGGGUCUGGUUGUCGAAGUCCGGAGAGCUCAUGCCUGUGCUGCUGUCCACUAGCACCUGCCACUUAUGCAGUUCCUGCUCCAGCUGUCAGAUCUCUCGCUUCUGGCGCUGGUCAGCCACAGUCAGCUCAUGCUCCAGCACCUCAUCCUGCAUGUCCUUGAGCUUACUGUCAUCAAUCAGGUCCUCUGCGUCGGAAAAAUUCAGCACUUGGUCCCCCUUGGGCAGUGGCUGCACUGUCUGGUCUUCCAGCAGAUAAUAUUGCUUCAUGAGCUGCCAAUGGGCCUGCAGAGACUUGGCAGUGUGGGCCAAAUAGAAGGCAUCAGGGUGUCUAUGCAGCAAGUCCUGGAAGGUCUCCAAGGUGGGCUGGCUGGUCGAUCCUACUUUGCUCAGCAGCUGUUCCUCAGCCUUGCUGAACAGGGCUUUGCUCUGGAUGGCUGCAAUGGCUUCUGGGUGUAGCUGCCUCAUUGCCUGGCAGGCCAGCUUGGAGAUAACAGGAUCAUACAGCAGAGCGUACCAGCGCUCCUGGACUUCUCGGAGGGUAAAGCGGCAGCUGAACUUCACACCCAGGUGGACUGAAGUCAGGUUGUUGGUCUGCAGCACUGCAUUGAUGAGCAGGAG